rnacentral:rRNA from 1 species
GCGCAAUGGGCGAAAGCCUGACGCAGCAACGCCGCGUGGGGGAUGACGGCCUUCGGGUUGUAAACCUCUUUCGACAUCGACGAAGGGCCUUUUUCGGGUUCUGACGGUAGGUGUAGAAGAAGCACCGGCUAACUACGUGCCAGCAGCCGCGGUAAUACGUAGGGUGCGAGCGUUGUCCGGAUUUAUUGGGCGUAAAGAGCUCGUAGGCGGUUUGUCGCGUCGGCCGUGAAAACCUGCCGCUUAACGGUGGGCGUGCGGUCGAUACGGGCAGACUUGAGUUCGGCAGGGGAGACUGGAAUUCCUGGUGUAGCGGUGAAAUGCGCAGAUAUCAGGAGGAACACCGGUGGCGAAGGCGGGUCUCUGGGCCGAUACUGACGCUGAGGAGCGAAAGCGUGGGGAGCGAACAGGAUUAGAUACCCUGGUAGUCCACGCCGUAAACGUUGGGCGCUAGGUGUGGGGACUGUUUCCACGGUUUCCGUGCCGUAGCUAACGCAUUAAGCGCCCCGCCUGGGGAGUACGGCCGCAAGGCU